ACGUUUUAAUAAUAUAUUUUUGUGUGGUUUAGUUUGCAUAAUUAUAAUUAAUAUGGCAUUUUCUUUGAAAAAAUGUUUGGUAAAGGAAAAGGUAAAAACGGUGAAAGUAGUGGCUUUUGACAAGCUUCAUCUUUUUUAUGAUGGAUUUUUUUUCUUCUCAUUUUUGUACGCAUGUUUGUGAGGAUGGGAAUGUUGCAGAUUCAUUUGUAUGUGAUGAAUGAGUGAAUGUGAGAAAUGUGAUAGAAUUUCUUGAAAGAUUUCACGAGCUCACUGAAAAAGUUUCAGGCUCACGUUAUGUCACUCCCAAUUGUCAUUUUGAGGAUAUAUGUGAGCUUGAUAGUCAUUUGAAAUCUUGUUUAGCUAGUGAUGAUACUAAUUUGAGUAAGAUGGCAGAGAAAAUGAAUGAGAAGUUUAAAAAAUAUUUGGGUGAACCUGAAAAGAUGAAUAAAAUGAUUUUCAUUGCUUAUGUAGUAACAGAGAAAAUAAAAGAGAAGUUUAAAAAAUAUUUGGGGUGAACCUGAAAAUAUGAAUAAAAUGAUUUUCAUUGCUUCUGUGACCCUCAUAACAAAUUUGAGUAUGUUGGUUUUGCACUUGAUGAAAUGUUUGGGAAGGAACUAAGGAAAAAAUUAACUGCCGAAGUGGAUGCUUAUUUGAAUUCUUUGUUUGGAGAGUAUCAAAAGAAAUAUUCCAAAGGAUGUUGUCUUCAAUCAUCCCCUUCUAAAUUUACUUCAUUUGAUGACACGUCUGAUUCAUCUAAUGUGAAUGUGAUAACAAAAUCUGUGAGAAUAAAGCAAUUAUUGAAAAGGCAAAAGGAAGACUCCGGAAGUGUG
rnacentral:lncRNA from 1 species